rnacentral:rRNA from 1 species
UACGUAGGGUGCAAGCGUUGUCCGGAAUUAUUGGGCGUAAAGAGCUCGUAGGCGGUUUGUUGCGUCGGCUGUGAAAACCUGAGGCUCAACCUCAGGCCUGCAGUCGAUACGAGCAGACUAGAGUGUUGCAGGGGAGACUGGAAUUCCUGGUGUAGCGGUGAAUGCGCAGAUAUCAGGAGGAACACCGGUGGCGAAGGCGGGUCUCUGGGCAACAACUGACGUGGAGGAGCGAAAGCCGUGGGGAGCGAAACAGG